CGCCCGCGCGGCUUGCGUGGAGCCGGCGGAGGCCAGAGCCCGAGCGCCGCGAGGGGCGGGCGCGGAGGUGGGGCGGCAGAGCGCCCCGCGCCGCCGCCCUCGCCGCCGCCGCCGCCGACGAGGAGGAGCCGCCGCCGCCACCGCAGCCGCCGGGUCGACGCAGGUGCGGCCGCCGCGCCGCCGGCGCCCCCCGCGAGGAUGCGGCCGGUCUCUUAAGAUGAGGUGUUGGUUGCAGGUGUUAAUAGGAUAAGUGAAAAUAAGAAUACCCAUAUAUUAAGAUAAGAACUAAAAGAACCAAACAGGGAAGCACUCAUAUUUCAAGAUCUCUAAGAAGAGGUAGCAAUAUUUAAUAUGGAACAAAAAGCUGGUGAAUCAAAUAAUGAUCUUUUAUCAAGUAGUGGUGUCACAUCCAAUGGAGGUUCUUCAAGUCCAUUUUUUAUGUCAUCUAUUCGUGGUACAAUAAUUGAAAACACAUCUUCAGCUGGGACAUUGACACAAAUUCCUUUUUUCCCCAAAUAUGAAGUGGAACUUGAUUCUCCUAGAAAAGUCAUCCCAUACCCUGGAAAGGAACACAUUGAACGUGUUUUGGAAGAAUAUUCACAUCAAGUCAAAGAUCUGCAGAGAAGACUAAAUGAAAGCAAUGAAUUGCAUGAGAAACAAAAGUUUUACUUAAGGCAGUCAGUCAUUGAUUUGCAAACAAAACUUCAAGAGAUGCAAAUGGAGAGAGAUGCCAUGGCUGACAUCAGACGAAGGGAGAGUCAGUCCCAGGAGGAUUUAAGAAAUCAGCUUCAAAAUACAGUUCAUGAACUUGAAGCUGCCAAAUGCCUUAAGGAGGACAUGCUGAAAGAUAGCAACGCACAGAUAGAGCAGCUGAGAAAGAUGAUGCUUGGCCAUGAGGGAGUACUUCAAGAAAUCCGAUCAGUCCUAGCUGACUUUGAAGAAGCCGCGGGCAAGAAAAUAUACGAACACGAGAGCGUGUCUACUCUCCACUUCCGCAACAUGGGCUCGGCUAUUAGUAAAGUCCUGAGAGAAUUAGACACAGAGAUUUCUUACCUUAAAGGGAGGAUAUUUCCAGUAGAGGAUCAGCUUGAAGCACUGAAGUCUGAAUCACAGAAUAAAAUAGAAUUGCUUCUUCAACAACAUCAAGAUAGGAUUGAGCAGUUAAUAAGUGAACAUGAAAUCGAAAUAACAGGACUUACUGAGAAAGCUAGCAGUGCUCGAAGUCAAGCCAAUAGCAUCCAGAGUCAACUGGAAAUCAUUCAAGAACAAGCAAGAAACCAAAAUUCAAUGUAUAUGCGCCAACUCAGUGAUCUGGAAUCUACUGUUUCUCAGCUACGUUCUGAGUUAAGAGAAGCCAAAAGGAUGUAUGAAGACAAGAUAGAAGAGCUUGAAAAGCAGUUAGUCCUUGCCAACUCAGAGCUAACCGAGGCACGGACAGAACGUGACCAGUUCAGUCAGGAAUCUGGAAAUUUGGAUGAUCAGCUUCAAAAGCUGUUGGCUGAUCUACAUAAAAGAGAGAAGGAGCUGAGUCUGGAGAAGGAGCAGAAUAAGCGUCUGUGGGACCGGGACACGGGCAACAGCAUCACCAUUGACCACCUGCGGCGGGAGCUGGACGACAGGAACAUGGAGGUGCAGCGCCUGGAAGCCCUCCUCAAGGCCAUGAAGAGCGAGUGUCAGGGCCAGAUGGAACGGCAGAUGGCAGCAAUUCAGGGAAAGAAUGAAAGUCUAGAAAAAGUGUCCUCCUUGACUGCUCAGCUUGAAUCCACCAAAGAGAUGCUCCGCAAAGUGGUGGAAGAGUUGACCGCCAAGAAGAUGACCCUGGAGAGCUCAGAGAGGACUGUAUCGGACCUGACCGCUUCGCUCCAGGAAAAAGAGAGAGCCAUUGAGGCUACCAAUUCAGAGAUCACAAAGCUGCGCUCCCGGGUGGACUUGAAAUUGCAGGAGCUACAGCACUUGAAAACAGAGGGAGAUCACCUCAGAAACGUGCAGACCGAGUGUGAGGCCCUCAGGCUACAGAUGGCAGAGAAGGACAAGGUGAUCGAGAUUUUGCGACAGCAGAUUGAAAACAUGACACAGCUGGUUGGCCAGCAUGGACGAACUGCUGGCGCCAUGCAAGUAGAAAAGGCUCAGCUCGAGAAGGAGAUCAAUGAUAGGAGACUGGAGCUACAGGAAUUCAAGAUUUUAAAAGAUAAAAAAGAUGCAAAGAUACGGGAGCUUGAGGCCCGAGUGAGUGACCUGGAGCUGGAAAAGGUGAAGCUGGUUAAUGCAGGCUCUGAGAGGCUCCGUGCAGUGAAGGACAUCAAACAGGAGAGAGAUCAGUUAUUAAAUGAGGUGAAAACUAGUAGGAGUGAGUUAAACAGUCUUACAGAGGACUAUGAAGUCUUAAAAAGGAAUUUUCGAAACAAAACUGAAGAAAUGGAAGCUACUACAAAUAAACUGAAAAUGCAAUUAAAAUCUGCACAGUCUGAACUUGAACAAACAAGAAAUACAUUAAAGUCAAUGGAAGGAUCCGAUGGUCAUGCUAUGAAAGUGGCAAUGGGGAUGCAAAAGCAAAUCACAGCUAAAAGAGGUCAAAUAGAUGCUCUUCAGAGCAAGAUACAGUUUUUGGAAGAGGCAAUGACAAAUGCAAAUAAGGAAAAGCAUUUUCUAAAAGAAGAAAAGAAUAAAUUGAGCCAGGAACUGAGUACAGUUGCAACAGAAAAAAACAAGAUGGCUGGAGAGCUGGAGGUCCUGAGAUCCCAGGAACGCCGUUUGAAAGAAAAGGUUGCUAAUAUGGAAGUAGCUCUUGAUAAGGCAUCUUUGCAGUUUGCAGAAUGUCAAGAUAUCAUACAGCGUCAGGAACAAGAAUCUGUGCGCCUAAAACUUCAACACACUUUGGAUGUAAAAGAACUUCAGGGCCCUGGAUACACCUCAAAUACUUCUGUGAAACCUCGCGUUCUACAGCCAUCCUCAGCUGUGCGUUCUCAUUCUAACGUACCGUCAUCCCAGUCCACAGCCAGCUUCCUGUCUCAUCACUCUAUGAAACCUAACAUAUUGAAGGAAGAUCCAACAAGGGACUUGAAACAGCUUCUCCAAGAGUUGAGAAGUGUGAUCAACGAGGAACCAGCUGUGCCUCUGGGCAAGCCCGAAGAGGAAGGGAGAACACCAUCCGUGGGGGUCUCCUACGUGGCUGUAAGCAACAACUCAUUAAGGGAUUCCACUGAAGGUAGCAAAUCCAGUGAUACUCUCAGCAGAGAACCCGUCACAUUACACACAGGAGACUUGGAAGAUCCAUCUAGUUGCUUUACAUUCCCAUCCACAGCAAGUCCAUCUGUGAAAAAUUCAGCUUCUCGUUCAUUCCAUUCUUCUCCUAAGAAGUCUCCAGUUCACUCACUCCUAACUAGUUCAGUUGAAGAUUCAGUGGGUUCCACAUCACAAUAUAGAUCCACCAAACCUGUUCAUUCACCUGAUCCUGUUAAAGCCGGAGCCUUUCGCUGGAAGCGCAUUUCUACACCCGGCUGCUAAGGCCACAGCUGGCUAAUACCGCCUGGGAAUAACCAGUAAAAUGGCUCCCUCUGGCCCGCUGCUUGCCCCGCCUCCCUCAUCUCGGAAGGAGUGGCGACCACAUCCUUCCCCAGGGCUGGCACACCAACAACUUGGAGUCGUCCUCCGCUCUCUUUUCUUCCCCUCUCCCAGUAGGCAGAAAGUAGCAAACUGCCACUCUUUCUUCAAACUACGGUAUGAAGAAUUCUACUUCUCUGCUGUGACACCCUGGUCUGCCACCAGCAUCUCUCACUUGGAUUACUGCCGUCACCUCCGUCUGCGCUCCCUGCUUCCACCCUGGAGACCCUACAGGCUACUCGCCAAAGCAGCAGUCGGGAUCAUUGGUAAAACAUCCCCUGAGCCUCUGCCCAGGACCGUCCAAUUGCUCUGUAGCUCAUGACAAAAAGACCUUGUUAGUUUGCAGCUUCCUCAGGAGCUUCUCACGUGUGAUCUGAAGCCGGCGCUAGUGUGGUUUGGAGACCCAGGCAAACCACUCCAGAUUGAUUUCUCCCUCCUGUGUGUGGAAGGAUGAAGACAAAACAAUUAAAAGCAGCUUUGUUUGCAAGGCCAGGGGAUUAAAUAGGAUGGGACGGAAGAGUUAGGGAAGAGAGAGAAUAGGGAGACUUGUUUCCAAAGUCCGUGCAAGAAGGUGGUGGGGAGGGGAGAACAGGGGUGUCGCUCAGCAGAAUUUAAGAGGAUAGAGGACUAAAAAGAAAUGGGUGGAUUUGACCUAUACGAGGUCUUCGGUGACUUCAGUAUUUGUGAGGGUAUGCACUCUGUUUUGGAAGGCUGAGGUAUAAAUGGGGGGAAGGCUAUGAAGUCCAACUUUCAUAGGUUAGCCUUCUCUCAGGAAAUCUGGAGGCAAGGGGUAGGAGAGAAAUAGAAGUGUCCCUUAAGACCAGAACAAGGUCCAAAGGAAGUUCUCUCAGACCAAGAAAGACCUACCUGGGCAUGAUUGUAAGGAGGAAAGAGCCAGUGAAGACUGAAAAUUAAUAAAAGGAAACCUCCUUUAAAAUGGAGUCGGGAGGAGAGAAGCGGGAGCUCUCUCAGCCUACCACCUGUAGUCAGCUGGUGACGCAACAGGAAGAGAAGGACCCAGCGGUGAUUCUAUUUGAGCGCCUACGGCACUAGCCCAGCAGGAGGAAGAAAUGUUUCUCCUUCCGCGGCAAGAGUCCCGCCAAUGAGACUGUCACAACUCAGCCAAGGAAAAGCCAUUAUGCUUCCACUUCCCAGUUUCCUCCAAUGGACUUUUUGUUAUUAAUAGACCUCCCAGCUGCCCCCCUUUCCUCUAUGAAAGGGUGUUCCUCUUCUUUGUUCUUCAGACUAGCCUCUGGUUUUGCUGGCUUUGAUUGUUUCACAUUGCAAUUCUCUACUAUUCCGGAACAAACCCAUUUUGCUGGUAAAGUAACUGGCAGUGUUGGUUUUAAGGCUAAGACCACACCUGAAGAUGUGAGGACAAGCUUCACGGCAAUCCCAUAAGGGAAGAGGAAGGUGGCUCCGAAACACCAGGGGAAGGGUUGGCCUGCGAUGAAUGAAGGAGAGGAAACAGGCAUGCAAAGAGGAAAGAAUGAACAGAAGAAACAGUUGAGGUACAAAGGAGGCAGGGAGUGAGGACGUUAUCAGCUGAGUGAGAGAAAGGAGGUCCAGCUGAGGUUUGAAGGAAAGCAGAGGAAAUCGCCACUGAGAGAAGAGAUCACCUGUUGGGAGACCUGUCCUUCCUGGAUCAUGUUGAGUCUUCAGUCCUGGGCCUCUGCUGUGCUCCGAGCUUCCCUGACCUUCCAGGGCCCUCACCCCCACUCAGACCCCACCUAACUGUCCAGCCGACCAGACAACCACUUCCCAGUUCCUGUCUACACCUCCCUCCCCUCUGGCUGUGAUCCACUCUGCAACCACUCCAGACUUAAUCCUCCUACAGAGCAGCUCCCCACAGGGCAUCUCCUGGGUCUACCAGAUUAACUUCAACCCCACUGUAGCCUUCAAGGUCUCUAUGACACAGUCCCAAGGACCACUCCAGGCCAUUCUCUUACCAUUGAUCUGCACUCCAGCCAAACUGGGACUCUCCCGCUGGAACCUUCACUCAUUAGUCUAGAGAUUUCCUAGAAGCCACUUAACUUCCAUGAAACCUCACCCCAGUCCACAGUCCCAUUCCCCAGCCCCCAGCCCUCAAACUGAUAUGUUGGCAGACUUCGAAGAAAAGAAUUACAUAUUGUAACUGUCUUAGAAAUAAAAUAGGUUUUCUGUGUUGGUAUAAUUAUUUUCGUAGUUUAUCUCAUCCCCAUACUAGAUCAUACAUUCCUUGAGGGCCAGAGUUCAUUUAUUCUUUGUGUUCCCUGGAAUACAAAGUCUAUUAUCUAAGAGGCCUUUUAACUCUCCUUUUUUCAUUGAAUACCCCGUGUAUACUGGCACUAGGCUAAGUGCUUUAUAAGGAUGAUCUCAUGUAAUGCCCCGAGAGAUGUAAGCUACUCAAGGUCAAAAAGCUGCUGGGUGACUGAGCUGGGCUUUGAACCCAGUAUUUGACCUCCCAGGACCCAGGCUCUGAAACUCUAGCUAUGCUGAAUCCUCACGGCUGACUACUAAACCAUGUCCAAAUUUCAAAGCAUACAUUUUAGAGGUGAAGGUGCAAAUGUGGAUGUGUGACACCAGAGAAUGCCUCUGGGUGGUAUUCCAACAUUUACAAUGAAUUUCAGCCUUGUUCCUAAUUUAUAAUCACUCUCUCCGCAAGCCAUCGCCUCCUCAGGGAGCUGUACUCACCACCACCAGCACCUGUCUGCUGCUGUCAAGCCUCCGGCUUCUGCUCCUCCCCAGAACAUGAACCACAAGCCAAACCUUUCUGCAAAGCAGUCACAUGGGAGCUGCCCAGUUUCAGAUUUCACAGGGACAUUUUCUAACUGCAAAUGUUUGCAAACCUCUGACUCAUCUUAGUUCCAGAAUAGACUCAAUGCGGAGAUCUCUUCUGUGAAAUGAUGAAGCCUUUAGAGAAAAGGGAAAUCUGUGUUGGGAAAUCCAGCUCACUGUAUUGAAAGAAAGUUAGAUUACAACUUGGUGGACUCCUGAUGGAAUAAAGCACUACCUGUAAAUGGUAAAACUACUACAGAACUACAAAAACCACUAAUAGCUAAUUGAACAAAAUCCAGGAGACUAUCACUGUGAUAUUGCAUAAUAUAGGAGGCCAAAAUAUUUCUUGACCUUAUCAAUAUAAGGCUAAUCAUUGAAGGAUGCCAUAGACAAAGUUAGCAGACAGAUCCAGAUGGGGAGAUUUUUGUGUUAUUAAAACUGACAAGGGAAUAAUAUGUGGAUCUAUGGGGACGCCUGGGUGUCUCAGUGGGUUAAGCGUCUGCCUUCGGCUCAGGUCAUGAUCCCAGAGUCCUGGGAUCGAGUCCCACAUCGGGCUCCUUGCUCAGCAGGGAGCCUGCUUCUCCCUCUGCCUGCCGCUCCCCCUGCUUGUGCUCUCUCUCUCUCUCUGACAAAUAAAAAAAUUUUUUUAAAAAAGUGUGGAUCUAUAAUGAACUCCGACAGAUUGCCAAAAAUUGAAAACAAAAACAUAUGGGGCGCCUGGGUGGCUCAGUCGGUUGAGCAACUGCCUUCGGCUCAGGUCAUGAUCCUGGAGUCCCGGGAUCGAGUCCCGCAUCGGGCUCCCUACUCGGCAGGGAGUCUGCUUCUCCCUCUGACCCUCCCCCCUCUCAUGUGCUCUCUCUCUCAUUCUCUCUCUCUCAAAUAAAUAAAUAAAAAAUCUUAAAAAAAAAACCCAUAAACUCCAAUGUAAAAUGUAUAGGGGAUGCUUUUCCCUGGGGUCUAGAACAGUGCCUGGAACAUAAAAGGCAUGUACAGUAAUUUUUAGUUAAAUAAAUGAAUGGCUAGCAAAAAGGUGCAGGAAUACUGGUAAACAGAUAAAUGCAAAUUAAAACGAUGAUAUUAUACCAUUUUACAUCCAAAUAUUAGAAAGAAGAUGUGAUGUUGCCAAUGAGAGUAAACAGGUAGAAACAAUCUGGAGAAUAAUCUGGAAGAAUUUUGUGAAAUUUAAGUAUUCAUAUACCCCAUGACACAGUAAUCCCACUCCUGAACAUGUUCGGCCCAGGGAAAAUUUUGCACAAGACACACAGUGUUAUUUGGGGCAACAGUAAGUUUAAGGUCACCUAGCUGCCCAUCAUGGGGAAAUAGCUAAGUAAAACAUGGUGGAUGCCUAUGAAAUACUACGCAGUAGGGCACCUGGGUGGCUCAGAUGGUUGAGCGUCUGCCUUCGGCUCAGGUCAUGAUCCCAGGGUCCUGGGAUCGAGUCCCACAUCGGGCUCCCUGCUCCUUGGGAGCCUGCUCCUCCCUCUGCCUCUCUCUCUCUCUCUGUCAUGAAUAAAUAAAUAAAAUCUUUAAAAAAAAAAAAAAAGAAAUACUACGCAGUAGACAGACCAAUGAACUAGAGCUACACAUUGCAACAUAAUUAAGUCUUAAAUACAUGAGGGUGACAAAAGGUAAGAAACAAUAAGAUUUCUAGCACAAUAACAUUUAUGUAAGUUGAAAAUACUCAACACUACAGAGUUUCAAAAACACAUGCAUAUUUAAGGUCAAGUAUUUAAACAGAUUAAAGAGAGUAACUGGUGGGCAGGAGGAGGGUUGGGGUAGCCAAUUCUCUUCAUUCUUCACCCCUAACAUCUUUCCUAGCCUUGAAUCUUGCCAUCAGUAAUGUGCUAGAGACAGUCUGUACCAGAUCACAAAAGUCAAUUGAGAAAUUUUCAGGAAUUUCGUGAGCUGGUUGGUAAACACAGUCAUUAUUAAAACUUAAAUAUCCUUAUAAAUAAAUUACAUUAACAACAAAGGUAAUAAAAACUCAAAAACUUAUCACGCUGUAGUUAUUAACAACAUUUUAUUAGUAUCUAUGGUCUUGAAGUUACUUACAUCUCCUAUCUGGGCGUUGGAAAUAAUAUAUAAUGGUACGCUACCUGCGCUUCUCUUUGGAGUUUGAAGCCAGAUUUAGAUGUGCUGUUUCAGCUCAUUUCUUCGGUCAGCUCAGAGGUAACAGCUUUGAGGGCAGCUUGAAGCAAGAGAAGGCUUGUAGCCGGUCCAGGAAGCUCUGCCCUCUGAUCCAGUGAAUCCAGUGUACUUGAAACGCUUGUGGCAGAUAGGGCUGCCGCAUGGCGCUUUGGCACGUCCAGGAAGGCAAAGCGGAGCACAGGCCCCCAGGGGUUUGCAGCCCAGCCGUGAACUCUGUGGCAUAUAACUGUUCUCCUUUUGAGAGGCCAAUCUUGGUUUGUUGCUUGGCACCAAUAAAUACAGCAGCCUGUUCAUGAGCCAUUAGGUAACCAAGCGACUGAUGCCCAUUAUAAACUCGGGGUCAUCUGAUCCACCAAGACAUCAAGUCAGCUAACAUUUAGUGUGUCUGUACUGUGUGCCAGGCACUGUUCCAUGCACUUUACUUGUAACAUUUCCUUUCAUCUUCACAAUUCUGGGAGGCAGUUCUGUUAUUAUUGCUAUUAUCCCUGCUUCAGCUGAGAAAACUGAUACAGAGAGAGGAGAAGUGAUUUGCCACCUAGUCAUAUAGCUCAUAAGUAGCAGAGCUUGGUUUGCACCCAGACCCUCUGGACCCAAAGUCCACAUGUUUAAUUACCAACUUAUAUGGCUUCUCACGAUCAAGUGGAAGUUCUCUGUGUAGGACUGCGCUUGAGCAGAAAUGGAAGACACGACAGAUUGCAUGCAUGGCGUGCUCAGUCCUACCAUACUGCUGCUCUUCCUCUGCCUACACAUCUGACCCAGGGAUGCUCGCGAAGCCCAGGGGACUGAACAAACAACCUGCCCAAGACGAUGGCAGUGCCACAACGCUCUAGUCCAACUCAAGGCUGGCCCUGAAGAACAACUGAGGAGAAUUUUCCAGUAGGCAGAAUUUUUAGCAUUUCAUCCCGUUGACCACUUUGUCUGAAAGGAGACAUGGCCUGGGGUGCAUAUAUCGCCUGUACUGGACAGAAACUGAUGGUGUAGCUGGGUAGCCGGACUGGGAAGGUCAUGAAUGCAAGGCUGAUGGUAACAAAGAUGUCUGGGGAAGAGGCGUUCAGGGGAUCUCUCAGAACGGAUCCUCUAGAGUAUGAGGAUAUUUGGUUCUUCAUGAACACCUGCUGAAGGUCUCCGCUGUAAAGGAAGCGCUCAGUAAUCACGUAAAAAGGCUAACCUAGCCUUAGCAUGUCAGCCUACGUCUUUCCCCAGGCACUCCAACGGUGCCUGGUGAUCUCGUGAACAAAGUGGGCAUGUGCGAUGCGUUGAAAAUACCAAGGAAUUCUGAGAAAAGUGGCUUUACUGGAAUAGCUACUUUUUCUGGAUUUGGAUUUGUGUUCCUGUUGAACAAACCUCUGCCCACACCAACAUUCAUAGAUUUACUGAAUGCUUAUUCACCACCAUGGUAUUCCACCCCACAUUGGCUCUCACUAAGUAACUAAUUUUACAGGAAUGGGCUGACACUAUGGGGUUCAUGCUUCUGUCAUGUACUCCAUCACCGUAAAGUGACCUCACAGAGGGCAUGGCAAAGACUCGUUCACAGCACAAUUGCUAUGUAGUCAGUCCAGCAGAUUACUGAGAUGAAAUUGUGACAGACCCAGAGGAUGAAAGGUCAUCACCCAGAGAUUUUGUAUUUGAAGACGAUGCAGUCACUCACAAAACUUUGGGACUCAGUAUUCUUUUAAUAAAUUCCCUUUUUGAUUAAA